rnacentral:misc_RNA from 1 species
AAGUCGUAACAAGGUUUCCGUAGGUGAACCUGCGGAAGGAUCAUUAACACGUAUCCAACGUUAAACCCCCCGUGAACCUUCAGUGCGAGCGCAUUGCCGAACAGUUUUGAUUCAGGGACUUCUGCGUAGACUGUGCUUGAGCGUGAGGCAAGUGGCCUGGCAUUCCUCUGCUUGUUGGUGUCUGAAAGUGUCACCAGCUCUGUACGAAUGGCGCAGUCACGAUCGCUAGAGGCCGACACGGCCGGCGACCGGGUCACUGGGCGCGAGCCCCCCUCGUCACCUUUGCAUGAAAACGGGCCUGCGCUUAAUUGUGCGGCCACCAAACUCGAACAACUGUUAACAAUGGAUAUCUUGGUUCUC